CAUUUUUUUUUAAAAAAAUUUUAUAGUUUUUUAAACUUGCUCAGAUUGAACGCUGGCGGCAGGCCUAACACAUGCAAGUCGAGCGGCAGCACGGGUACUUGUACCUGGUGGCGAGCGGCGGACGGGUGAGUAAUGCCUAGGAAUCUGCCUGGUAGUGGGGGAUAACGCUCGGAAACGGACGCUAAUACCGCAUACGUCCUACGGGAGAAAGCAGGGGACCUUCGGGCCUUGCGCUAUCAGAUGAGCCUAGGUCGGAUUAGCUAGUUGGUGAGGUAAUGGCUCACCAAGGCGACGAUCCGUAACUGGUCUGAGAGGAUGAUCAGUCACACUGGAACUGAGACACGGUCCAGACUCCUACGGGAGGCAGCAGUGGGGAAUAUUGGACAAUGGGCGAAAGCCUGAUCCAGCCAUGCCGCGUGUGUGAAGAAGGUCUUCGGAUUGUAAAGCACUUUAAGUUGGGAGGAAGGGCAUUUACCUAAUACGUAAGUGUUUUGACGUUACCGACAGAAUAAGCACCGGCUAACUCUGUGCCAGCAGCCGCGGUAAUACAGAGGGUGCAAGCGUUAAUCGGAAUUACUGGGCGUAAAGCGCGCGUAGGUGGUUCGUUAAGUUGGAUGUGAAAUCCCCGGGCUCAACCUGGGAACUGCAUUCAAAACUGUCGAGCUAGAGUAUGGUAGAGGGUGGUGGAAUUUCCUGUGUAGCGGUGAAAUGCGUAGAUAUAGGAAGGAACACCAGUGGCGAAGGCGACCACCUGGACUGAUACUGACACUGAGGUGCGAAAGCGUGGGGAGCAAACAGGAUUAGAUACCCUGGUAGUCCACGCCGUAAACGAUGUCAACUAGCCGUUGGGAGCCUUGAGCUCUUAGUGGCGCAGCUAACGCAUUAAGUGACCGCUGGGAGACGCCGAAUUGGG
rnacentral:rRNA from 1 species